UACGGAGGGGUUAGCGUUGUUCGGAAUUACUGGGCGUAAAGCGCACGUAGGCGGAUUGGAAGGUUGGGGUGAAAUCCCGGGGCUCAACCCCGGAACUGCCUCCAAACUUCCAGUCUGGAGUUCGAGAGAGGUGAGUGGAAUUCCGAGUGUAGAGGUGAAAUUCGUAGAUAUUCGGAGGAACACCAGUGGCGAAAGGCGGCUCACUGGCUCGAUACUGACGCUGAGGUGCGAAAGUGUGGGAGCAAACAGG
rnacentral:rRNA from 1 species